rnacentral:lncRNA from 1 species
ACAAAUGAAUACAUAGUAAAGAAAGCAAUACAACCAUCAUAUAUAUAAUUGAAAGUUUACAUUUGUCAAAAGUUACAUGUUCAAAACUCAAUUACAAUAUGAUGUCAAAAUACGAGAUUAAACUGGCGCCGCAGCAUCUCUUCAUCAAAAGCGAAAAUGAAUACCUGAAAUUACUGAUUUCCUGGGACAUACAAGUAAUUUUGAAAGAGUAGAUCAGCAUUUAAGCUGGUGAAUUUCAUAAGUAUUUAAGUGACAAUGUUUAACUGAAAUGAAAUGUUUUAUCUUUGUUUGUUUGUGUUUAGAAAAUCUUAUAUUUUCUACUAGUAUAAAAGUAGNUUUGUGUUUAGAAAAUCCUAUAUUUUCUACUAGUAUAAAAGUAGCCUUCACUCAAGACCAAUGUUUGUUUCCAAAAUGUAUGUAAAUGUAAAAUAACCAAUGAGUUUGAAAAUCUUGUAAAUCAAUGCAUUUUUAAUACCCCUUGUGAGUUUUAUAACCAUACUAUUGACUCUGAAUGCCUAUACACAACGUUCUUCAGGCGUUGGAUUGUUAUGACGUUUGUCACCCCAAACGGUGGACUGCAGCUAACAGUCAGGGCGCGGGUUGUCAAGCCCGUAUAGAUCUAUACACAAACACCAUGCUCCCCCUCCAAGGGAU